rnacentral:tRNA from 1 species
CAAAUUAUAGCUUAAUUAGAUAAGUAUUUCAUUUACAUUGGAAAGAAAUUGAAAAAUUCAAUUAAUUUGG